AGGUGCACUGUUGCUGAAGUACUAUGAGCUUUCAGAACUUCUGGAGAAACUACAAAGUUCUGAUUGUUAUGGUACCUUUAGUUGGGUUCAUACAUUUGGGAUGGCACAGAAUCAAGAGCAGCCCUGUUUUCCAAAUGCCUAAUAAGGACAAUGUUUCUGCACCAGAUAGUCCAGCACUUGAAUGUCCUGAGAAGAAUCACAUCGAAGGGAAAUAGGCUUGGAAUCUUCAGAAAGAAGCAUCUUUGAGUCUGAGCUUGAUAUUGAAAGAAGAGAUGAAAAACACCAGCUGGAUUAGAAAGAACUGGCUUCUUGUAGCUGGGGUGUCUUUCGUAGGUGUCCAUCUUGGAACAUACUUUAUACAGAAGGCUGCAAAACAAUCUAUAAAAUCUCAACCUAGAGGCAAACAAGAGUACUGAAGAAUGAAAUAAAAAUAAAUAUUUGGAAUUACUAAUAUGUCACUAAGUCAUUACAUGCUAGUUAUCUUCAUAAGCCUGGAGCUAUUUAAUUUUAAAGCCACCGUGCUGCAUAUUCAAGACUUUCAUUCUUGAAGGAUAAUUUUUUUCUCUAAAUGUCAAGACCCAUGACAAUGAAAUAAAUAGAAAAAUAUGUCUAACAAAAUAAAAACUGUCUUCACCACUUGCCACCGGAAGUAAGAUGUCUCGUUUAGAAGCUAAAAAGUCGUCAUUGUGUAAAAGUGAACCACUGACAAGUGAGAGAGUCAGGGCCACACUUUGUAUCUUGAAAGGAGUCCUGACAUCCAGCUAUGGCCCUUCGGGGAGGCUGAAGCAGAUGCACAACGGGCUUGGAGGCUGUGUGCGCACCACCUCACAUUCGUCGGCCCUGCUCUCCAGCCUUCCCGUCACCCACCCCAUUUUAAAGAUCCUGAUGACAUCCGUGCAGAAUCAUGUGUCAUGUUUCAGUGACUGUGGCUUAUUCACGGCCAUUCUUUGCUGCAAUCUGAUUGAAAAUCUUCAGAGAACAGGCUUGACACCAACCACUGUUAUUAAAUUAAACCAGCACCUUUUACGCCUCUGCACCAGUUACCUCAAGUCUGAGUCCUGUGGUUGUCGAAUUCUAGUUGACUUUAGCAGGCCUCAGACCCUCCUUUGUUUGGUGCGCAGUAUAGUAACAAGUAAACCCGCUGGUAUGCUCACCAGAGAGGAAACAGACCACAUCAGUGCUUUGGUUCUGAGAGCCUUUUUGCUUACAAUUCCAGACAACGCCAAAGACUGCCUCCUUUUAGGAAAGAGUAUAAUUGUGCCUUUAAAAGGUCAAAGAGUUCUAGAUUCUUCUGUAUUCCCUGGAAUACUUAUUGAAAUGUCAGAAGUUCAACUGAUGAAGAUCUUACCUAUCAAAAAAUCAGAUGCCUUCAAGGUGGCACUCUUUUGUGCUUCUUUAUCUGGAGAUCUCUCUGAUACUGGAGAAGGAACUGUGGUGGUCAGUUCCGGGGUCUCUCUUGAAAAUGCAGCCCUGGAGCAGUUGCUUAACCUAGGAAGGCAGCUAGUUGGUGAUCACGUAGAUCUUGUCAUGUGCCAAAAAGUUAUACACCCAUCUUUAAAACAGUUUCUCAGUAUGCACCGUGUAAUUGCUGUAGACAGAGUUGGAGUGGCUCUGAUGGAACCCCUGAGUAAAGUGACAGGUAAAAAGCACCUUCAGCUUUUGCCCCUUACAGUUAAUAAUCACACUCUUUUUUUGAGUGGACAUUCUUGGUGUGCGUCACUGUUAACAUCUUGAAAAAUUUUAGAAGCUGCCAACCUUGCAGCAUGUGUAUCAUUUCUGCCAGCAAAGGUGGCUUCUAAGAAACACCCUGUACUGUUCGUUUCCUAAAACUUGAGUGAUUAUGGCAAUUUCUGUGUAUUUUCCAGCCCCAGAAAAGACUAGGGUCUAUUAUAAUCUAAAACCAUUAACCCCCCAAACAUCUUAGAGUACUGAGAAGUUUAACAGCCUCAUAAUCCUAAGGUGUUUCAUACUUUACACAAAAUUCUUCUACUUGAAUUUUACAAGUAGAAAUCACAUUAUAUUCAGAAGAUAAUUUUGCAGCU